GUUGGGAAUUUUGCUUUGAGUAUCACCAACAAAUCACUAGUUGUAUUUUUGAUAUAUAAUAUCUCAAAUCACUCUCGUAUCACAUUUUUUACAAUGGUUUCGCAGUCAAAGUCUCACAAUAACAAAAAUUCCUGUUUUAAAGGAAAACUAUGUAUCACGCUAUCGCGCGUGGAGUUCACGUGUUCUAUUACUAUUUUAACUAUAGACUGAGGUAAAGUCUCCAACACACUCCCCCAUGUAUGUUCUGUCCGAGACAUACAUGCACUCUCAGACUUUAUAACGCAAAUGUAAACACUAAAUAAUGUAAUUAUAGUCAUCAGUUCCAACUUUACUAUCAAGUUUGAACAUCGUGCUAGUCCGACUGUUCGUUCUCGGCAAGUUCUCUAAUAGCAACUCUCGCAGCUUCUGCAGCGGCUCUCUUUGGUCUUGGGUGGAAGUCUGUGGCAUCAGGGUUCAGUUGUUGGUUGUUGUUUAAAUCGCAAGACAAUUCAAGGGGAAAUAAAUGUUGGACUGCUCUCUCCAAUGUACCCUUGCCUGUUUUCACCACUGCUCCCCGUACAACUCCGUCCUUUCCCGUAAUUAAUCUUGUCACAACAGCAGUUCUCCACGUAUUUCUUGGUUUGUUUUCUUCUCGAACAAUCACGACUUCUCCGAUCUUCGGAUGCACAGCAUUCUUGUUUCCAGUUUGGCGGUGUUGUUCACGCAGGCCACGGACAUAUUCACGACUCCAUCUGUCCCAUACUGCUUGUUUGCAUCUUCGAAGGAACCUUGCACGUUUUCUCAAAUCUUUCUCGGCAAUGUGAUGUGCCUCUUCUUCAGGAACGUACGUUGCAUUGACCUGAAGCAACGAGUUAGGUGUCAGCGCUGGUAAUUCAAUAUCGUCCUCGAGAUAUGUUAAAGGUCGGUUAUUUAACGCUACUUCUACGUCGAGUAUGACAUCCUCCAACUCAGACCAUUUCAGAGUUCCGUUACCAACGGAUUUGUAGAACGCAUUCUUGAACAAGCCUAUAAGUCUCUCGAAUUGGCCCCCCCACCAAGGGGCCCGACUCAGAUUAAAACGCCAUUUGAUACCAAAACUUGCAAGGAGACUGUGAAACUGUUCGUCCUUUCUCACACGCUGUAACCAUUUAGCUGUCGCCUGAAAGGUAGCUCCAUUAUCCGAGUACACUACCUUGGGUCUGCCACGUCUAGCGAUGAAUCUCUUUAAACAGGCGAUAAACUCCUCUGUCUCCAAUGACGUUACCAGUUCCAGAUGAAUCGCUCUGGUCAGACUGCACGCGAACAUGGCUAAGUAGGCUUUCCCUUCCGUCUUUUUUCCGCGUUGAUAUCUUAUCGGCCCGGCGAAGUCUACGCCUAUCACUUGAAAUGGCAUGUCACCCUCGGUACGAGUUUUCGGCAGUUUCCCUGGAGGUGGUACAUGAUACGCCUUCACUUGAAAUCGUUUGCAGCCAUUGCAUUUCCUCCGAAUCCGUUUGACUAACUGACGAAGCCGAGGCACCCAAAACCGUUCACGCACCUUUGCCAUAGUGAGCCCAACGCCACCGUGUAGAGUUGAAAUGUGGGCUUGUUGAACAACUUUCAAUGUAAAGGGUUGGCUAUCGGGCAGAUAGAUUGGAUAUUCGCCACUGAUUCGCCCGCGACAAUCAACUAUUUGUUGAUCGUUCUGCAACAAGUUCAAUCGCAGUUGAUCUGUUCGAAAUUGGGCAUCAUCUUGAACUGCUUGCUGUGCUCGUCUAAUCCACCAGAGUUCCUGCUGUUCAACCUCAUCAGUAGAAAUCGGACCCGUCACUUUCUCUUCGGUUUGGCGUUUGCAGUUUGAAACAAAGCGUCGAACAUAACCGAGAAUUCUCAAUACUUUCGAGAGAUGGUAUUUUUCGAGUAGCUCAUCAAAGACAUCUGACUGGAUCACGGUCGCUGCUGCGAUUUCGUUCUUUACUUUCACCUUCUCUUCCGCUCUAGUCUGCUCAUCAGGAACUAGUGUCACGUCUUGGGGCCAUCUGGAUGGAUCCUUCAGCCAAGCUGGGCCUUCUUUCCACAAUUGGUUGUCCUUAACGUCGCCUCCCCUACUUCCUAGAUCAGCGGGAUUCUCUCUCGUAGGCACAUGAUGCCAUGUCACUUCGCCAUGCUGUCGUAUCUUCUGCACCCGAUUCGUCACGAAUUGUCGGUAUUCACCUUUCCCUUUUAUCCAAUAUAGCGCCACGGUUGAGUC